UACGUAGGGUGCAAGCGUUAAUCGGAAUUACUGGGCGUAAAGCGUGCGCAGGCGGUCGUGCAAGACAGAUGUGAAAUCCCCGGGCUCAACCUGGGAACUGCAUUUGUGACUGCACGGCUGGAGUGCGGCAGAGGGGGAUGGAAUUCCGCGUGUAGCGGUGAAAUGCGUAGAUAUGCGGAGGAACACCGAUGGCGAAGGCAAUCCCCUGGGCCUGUACUGACGCUCAUGCACGAAGGCGUGGGGAGCAAACAGG
rnacentral:rRNA from 1 species